rnacentral:rRNA from 1 species
UCAAACCGGCGUGAGCCAGGUUGGUUUCUAUCCUCAAUUAAUUAGAAUAUUUUAGUACGAAAGGAUUAAAUAUUCAAAAUAAUUUUUUUUAUUUAUGAAUAAAAUUAAU